AUUGAACGCUGGCGGCAGGCCUAACACAUGCAAGUCGAGCGGAUGACGGGAGCUUGCUCCUUGAUUCAGCGGCGGACGGGUGAGUAAUGCCUAGGAAUCUGCCUGGUAGUGGGGGACAACGUUUCGAAAGGAACGCUAAUACCGCAUACGUCCUACGGGAGAAAGCAGGGGACCUUCGGGCCUUGCGCUAUCAGAUGAGCCUAGGUCGGAUUAGCUUGUUGGUGAGGUAAUGGCUCACCAAGGCGACGAUCCGUAACUGGUCUGAGAGGAUGGUCAGUCACACUGGAACUGAGACACGGUCCAGAAUCCUACGGGAGGCAGCAGUGGGGAAUAUUGGACGAUGGGCGAAAGCCUGAUCCAGCCAUGCCGCGUGUGUGAAGAAGGUCUUCGGAUUGUAAAGCACUUUAAGUUGGGAGGAAGGGUUGUAGAUUAAUACUCUGCAAUUUUGACGUUACCGACAGAAUAAGCACCGGCUAACUCUGUGCCAGCCGCCGCCGUAACAC
rnacentral:rRNA from 1 species